rnacentral:rRNA from 1 species
UGCAGUCGAACGGUGAUAUUUAUAUCAUAGUGGCGCACGGGUGCGUAACACGUAUGCAACCUACCUAUUAUUGGGGGAUAGCCUUUGGAAACGGAGAUUAAUACCGCAUAAUACGAUUAACUGGCAUCGGUUGAUUGUUAAAGCAUUUGCGAUAAUAGAUGGGCAUGCGUCCAAUUAGUUAGUUGGUGUGGUAAUGGCUCACCAAGACGAUGAUUGGUAGGGGAUCUGAGAGGAUAAUCCCCCACACUGGCACUGAGAUACGGGCCAGACUCCUACGGGAGGCAGCAGUAGGGAAUAUUGGGCAAUGGGCGAAAGCCUGACCCAGCCAUGCCGCGUGCAGGAAGACGGCGUUAUGCGUUGUAAACUGCUUUUUUAUAGGAAGAAGGAUCCCUUGCGAGGGAAGGUGACGGUACUAUAAGAAUAAGCACCGGCUAACUCCGUGCCAGCAGCCGCGGUAAUACGGAGGGUGCAAGCGUUGUCCGGAUUUAUUGGGUUUAAAGGGUGCGUAGGCGGUUUAUUAAGUCAGUGGUGAAAGACGGUCGCUCAACGAUUGCAGUGCCAUUGAUACUGGUAGACUUGAGUGAGAUUGAGGUAGCUGGAAUGGAUAGUGUAGCGGUGAAAUGCAUAGAUAUUAUCCAGAACACCGAUUGCGAAGGCAGGUUACUAAGUCUUAACUGACGCUGAGGCACGAAAGUGUGGGGAUCAAACAGGA